GAGACUGAGCCAAUGGAUGAGGAGCCUAGGAUGGAGCCGAGCAGACAGAGAGCCAGGGUGACAUGGAGGAUCCAAAGGGCCAAGGUGGCACUGAAGGCUAAGGCAACUGAGGCGAGGCUUCGGAAGACCGCUGCUGAGCCGGAGCUACUGAGGAUGGAUGGAGUGACGGGGCGAAGCCAGAGGAGUGGAGUCCCGAGUCGGCCAAUGGUCAACGACUGAACAAGGCGGAGCCGGAGGGAUAAGGGAGCCCGGUGGAGCUGGUGGGAUGACGGGCCAUGGUGGAGACGAGGGAGCUAAGAGCCAAGGAGGAGCCAAUGGGUCAAAAAACCGAGGUGGAGUCCAGGACUCUGGAUGAGGAACUGGCUGGUUUAAGAGGCGGCGGCAGAGGGAGGCUGGGAGGGAACACAGAAGGACUUAGGCUGGGCGGAACCAGUGGAGACGCAGGAGAAUUGGGUAAUGCCUCCCCAAACCAAUCUAUUAAAUCCAUCUGGAAAAUGUCCGUAAGUUCCUCAGUCCAGUGACCAGCUGCAGCUCACCCUCAGUGGCGGGAGUGUGGGCAGGGCUUCCCUCCAAGCCCUCGAUCUCCACCAAAACUCCCCCGGGAACGGACGAUGUUGCCGGCUCACGCACUUGGUCAGACAAUGCUAGAGGCUCAGGCUCCAUGGCAAUGAUCGGCUCAGUCAAGGCGGGCUCAGGCUCUCCGUCUGCAGGGGGUUCACGCAGUAACUCCGUGCAGUGGGAUGACGGCUGGCUGGUCUCUGGUUCGUGAGUGGGGCUGGAGAUAUCCUCCUCAGCAGGGCAGAUGGUGAACGGUGAUCCGUUAUUCUCCAGCACCCAAUCCAUGAAAGCGGCGAAAUCCUCUUUGGGACUGGUAGGCAUGCCUUACACCGCACGCUCAGGCCAGUGUAAUAAAAAACACAGAGCGAGCGGUCUGGGAACUGGGUAAGACACGCCAGAUCGAUAAAGUCCUUGGUGUGGUCCUCCAGUAAACAGUCCAACUGCUCCAGGCAUAGGAGCUGGACAGCUGGUAAAUCCAUACCAGGAGAGGGGAAAAACAAAACAAAAAAGAAAGAAAAACACAGCUAAUCUUACUCACAAAGUGCACAACGAAGGAGUAUAAAUAAAGAGUUCUUUUAACAAGCCACAAGAGAGAAAAGACAAACAAAACAACAAUUUAUUCAUGAGAAACGAUGCUCUUGUAUUUUCCCACAGGUUUCCAGUAUGAGCAGACAGGUGCAGUCUGGCUGCAGCAGUUUUACAUUCAUCCGGUGAAGAGCGUCUAAACUUCUGGGACAGUUCAAAUCUCUUAGACGACCUGAAGGUCAGUCAUUGAGGCUAUUGCAUCAGUGACGCCACAUAUAUAGUCACCCUGUCUUGUCUGUGUCAGCUGUCCAGUCAGGGACUGUGAUUUUUGCUUUGAACAGGAAGCCAACCCUGGAGCAGCUUCAUUUUUCAGCUGUAUAUCUAUGUUCAUUCCUGCCCAACUCCCAGCAACUACCAUGGAUGUGGAAUGCUGUAGAGCUACCAGAAUCAUGGGUCUGAGUUUACCAGCAUGCAUCCAUCUCUGCUGCAUAAGCAGAAAAAAAAAGAAAGACUUCCAGGGCCUAGCACAGAGGCUGCAGAUGGGUUGAUUGAAUUUGAGCAUCCAUACAAAAUACUUUGUCUUCUCUGAGAAAAUAAAUCUCACACUGGAUAAACAUCUCCGGAUAAACAAUUUUCUUUCUUUAUCCCCCAAAAAAUCAUUCUCUAUCUGAAGACACAACAAUUAAAUCAUAUUCCUAAAUUGUUUUAAAUCAAAUAAAUAAACAAAUCCAUUUUAAGAGGUUUUUAACUUCAAACCAUUGUUUCUAGCCAAAAUAUGAGUCCCAAAUCCAUUAUAAUGCUUACUCCAGUGGAAAAGUCCAUCCC
ensembl:lncRNA